rnacentral:rRNA from 1 species
UACGUCGGUGGCAAGCGUUGUCCGGAAUUAUUGGGCGUAAAGCGCGCGCAGGCGGUCCUUUAAGUCUGAUGUGAAAGCCCACGGCUCAACCGUGGAGGGUCAUUGGAAACUGGGGGACUUGAGUGCAGAAGAGGAAAGCGGAAUUCCACGUGUAGCGGUGAAAUGCGUAGAGAUGUGGAGGAACACCAGUGGCGAAGGCGGCUUUCUGGUCUGUAACUGACGCUGAGGCGCGAAAGCGUGGGGAGCAAACAGG